rnacentral:rRNA from 1 species
CCUACGGGAGGCAGCAGUGGGGAAUAUUGGACAAUGGGGGAAACCCUGAUCCAGCGACGCCGCGUGAGGGAAGACGUAUUUCGGUACGUAACGCUCUAUCAGCAGGGAAGUAAAUGACGGUACCUGACUAAGAAGCCCCGGCUAACUACGUUCCAGCAGCCGCGGUAAUACGUAGGGGGCAAGCGUUAUCCGGAUUUACUGGGUGUAAAGGGAGCGUAGAUGGCAGCGCAAGUCUGGCGGGAAAUGCCGGGGCGCAACAUCGGAGCUGCCGUGGAAACUGUGGAACUAGAGUUCAGGUGGGGCAAGCGGAAUGCGUGGUGUAGCGGUGAAAUGCGUAGAUAUCAGGAGGAACACCGGCGGCGAAGGCGGCUUGCUGGACUGUAACUGACGUUGAGGCUCGAAGGCGUGGGGAGCAAACAGGAUUAGAUACCCUUGUAGUC